rnacentral:rRNA from 1 species
GUGAACCUGCGGAAGGAUCAUUGUCGAAACCUGCCCGGCAGAACGACCUGCGAACUUGUGGCCGAGCAUGCUAGGGCUGCAGGGGGCUCUUGUCCCCUGCGUCCCUUGGGGCCGCGGACGGGUGCAUCUGCACCCGACGCAGCUCGAAAACAAACCCCGGCGCGAGAAGCGCCAAGGAACUAGAGUACGAAGAGCGCGCCCCCGUCGCUGAAGGGUGCUCUGGGGGUGCGUCUCCAAUUUGCGAUAAGCUAAACGACUCUCGGCAACGGAUAUCUUGGCUCUUGCAUCGAUGAAGAACGUAGCGAAAUGCGAUACUUGGUGUGAAUUGCAGAAUCCCGUGAGCCAUCGAGUUUUUGAACGCAAGUUGCGCCCGAGGCCUCAUGGCCGAGGGCACGUCUGCCUGGGUGUCACGCAUCGUCGCCCCCAAACCCCUCUCGGCCAAGGAGGGCGGGGGGCGGAUACUGGUCUCCCGCGUGUGCUUCCGCUCGUGGUUGGCCCAAAAUUGAGUCCUCGGCGACGGCUGCCACGACGAGCGGUGGUUGAGAGAACCCUUGAAAGCGGUCGUGCGCAUGCCCUGUUGCGCUUUGGGAUAUCCAAGACCCUCGAGCAUCAUCGGCUUUGCUAGGAUGCUCUCGCUGCGACCCCAGGUCAGGCGGGACUACCCGCUGAGUUUAA